GUGCAUCUGUUGGUCACAGGUGAAAUGGUGUA
rnacentral:piRNA from 1 species